rnacentral:rRNA from 1 species
UACGUAGGGUGCAAGCGUUGUCCGGAAUUAUUGGGCGUAAAGAGCUCGUAGGCGGUUUGUUGCGUCGGCUGUGAAAUCCCGAGGCUCAACCUCGGGUCUGUAGUCGAUACGAGCAAACUAGAGUGUUGCAGGGGAGACUGGAAUUCCUGGUGUAGCGGUGAAAUGCGCAGAUAUCAGGAGGAACACCCGGUGGCGAAAGGCGUCCCUCUGGCCGGAUACUGACGCUGAGACGCGAAAGCGUGGGGGAGCAAACAGG